ensembl:lncRNA
CAAUCACGAGCACUGUCUAGCACAACACCUGGAGCUAAGGGGGCAAAACAAUCGCAUGAGUGCUGCUGUUUGACUGAGGAAGAAUAAAGUAGUCGUGGGGUUCACUAUCUUGGCCACAGAUACUUCAGCUGACUGGAGCAACCAGGGAUCGAACUAUCAACUGUCUUGAGCCACAGCCACCCAAAAACCAAAGACACAGAAUAGGUUCUAUUCAAGAUUUUUAUUUAUGUGUUUGCAUAAUUAUCUUACAUUGUUGAAACUAUUUCAAAAUAAGCUUGAGUCACUGAAAUCUAAUCCUAGCCUAAUAUUAUAUUCUGUAGUAAGUGUAGUAUAACUGAAGGCAAAUUAAAAGAUGCAUCUGUCCAAAUGCUGACAUGUUUUUAAAACCUUUCUCUUUAAAUGUUGAAGGUGUUUCUACAGAAGUACAAUAAAAAUAUAACAAUUAGACAAACAUUUAACUGAAACAUUUACUUGCAUAACACAGCAGCAUUCCUGCCGUUUGUGGUGUUUUGAAAAUGAACAAUUUUCAAACAAUACACACAAAUCUGGUUCAUACUGAGAUAUCAAAUGUUCUGUGAAGUAUAUUUAGUUUAGCUUUGGGUUGCUCCUAUAGCAUACCUGCAUUCCAUGUACUGAAGACUUAAUAUAUUUGAUUUUAUAUUAAAUUAAUGCCUUAUGAAAAAACUUAUGUUCUUGUAGAUAUAUGCCUGUUUGAUUUUUGUUUGACUAACUGGGUACAGCAGGGAUGGGUAGCACUGUCAGCACUGGAUUGGAGGCAGCAUACACAACUCAGAAGAACAUGAAUGUCACAGUUAGGAAAGUGAAACUCAAUUAUUGUGUAACUGAACGCCGUUAUCAAUGGUGGCAUCAUUUGCAAACACAGUCUGCUCUUUGCCAGCAAGUCGGAGACAUGAAAUCGCAGGCUAGCCUCCUUCCUGGCCCAAAUCUGAGCUGAAAUUGUGACCAAGCACAGUUUUGACUGAGUUUUGA